CCUACGGGUGGCAGCAGUGGGGAAUAUUGCACAAUGGGGUAAACCCUGAUGCAGCGACGCCGCGUGAGCGAUGAAGUAUUUCGGUAUGUAAAGCCUCAUCAGCCGGGGAGAAAAUGACGGUACCUGACUAAGAACCCCCGGCUAACUACGUGCCAGCAGCCGCGGACAUCCGGAGGGGGCAAGCGGUAUCCCGAUUUACUGGGUUGAAAGGGAGCGUUGACGGUCAUGCAAGGCAGAUGUGAAAGCCCCGGGCUCAACCCUGGGACUGCAUUUGAAACUGUAAGGCUAGAGUGGGCGAGAGGCAGGCGGAAUGCGUAGUGUAGCGGUGAAAUGCGUAGAUAUUAGGAAGAACACCAGUGGCGAAGGCGGCAUGCUGGACGACGACUGACGUUGAGGCUCGAAAGCGUGGGGAGCGAACAGGAUUAGAUACCCGAGUAGUC
rnacentral:rRNA from 1 species